UACGUAGGGUGCAAGCGUUGUCCGGAUUUAUUGGGCGUAAAGAGCUCGUAGGCGGCCGGUUGCGUCUGCUGUGAAAUCCCGGGGCUUAACCCCGGGCGUGCAGUGGAUACGGGCUGGCUGGAGGCAGGCAGGGGAGAAUGGAAUUCCCGGUGUAGCGGUGAAAUGCGCAGAUAUCGGGAGGAACACCGGUGGCGAAGGCGGUUCUCUGGGCCUGUGCUGACGCUGAGGAGCGAAAGCGUGGGGAGCGAACAGG
rnacentral:rRNA from 1 species